rnacentral:rRNA from 1 species
CGGAGGAAAAGAAACUAACAAGGAUUCCCCUAGUAACUGCGAGUGAAGCGGGAAAAGCUCAAAUUUAAAAUCUGGUGGUCUUUUGGCUGCCCGAGUUGUAAUCUAGAGAAGUGUUAUCCGCGCUGGACCGUGUACAAGUCUCCUGGAAUGGAGCAUCAUAGAGGGUGAGAAUCCCGUCUUUGACAUGGACUCCCAGGGCUUUUGUGAUGCGCUCUCAAAGAGUCGAGUUGUUUGGGAAUGCAGCUCAAAAUGGGUGGUAAAUUCCAUCUAAAGCUAAAUAUUGGCGAGAGACCGAUAGCGAACAAGUACCGUGAGGGAAAGAUGAAAAGAACUUUGGAAAGAGAGUUAAACAGUGCGUGAAAUUGCUGAAAGGGAAACGCUUGAAGUCAGUCACGUUGUCCAGGGAUCAACCUUGCUUUUGCUUUGGUGCACUUUCUGGUUAACGGGUCAGCAUCAAUUUUGACCAUUGGAAAAAGAUUAGGGGAAUGUGACAUCUUCGGAUGUGUUUAUAGUCCUUGGUUGCAUACAAUGGUUGGGAUUGAGGAACUCAGCACGCCCUCAGGGGUCGGACCCUUAGGUCACGUACGUGCUUAGGAUGCUGGCAUAAUGGCUUUAAUCGACCCGUCUUGAAACACGGACCAAGGAGUCUAACAUGCCUGCGAGUGUUUGGGUGGAAAACUCGAGCGCGUAAUGAAAGUGAAAGGUUGAGAUCCCUGUCAUGGGGAGCAUCGACGCCCGGACCAGACCUUUUGUGACGGUUCCGCGGUAGAGCAUGUAUGUUGGGACCCGAAAGAUGGUGAACUAUGCCUGAAUAGGGUGAAGCCAGAGGAAACUCUGGUGGAGGCUCGUAGCGAUUCUGACGUGCAAAUCGAUCGUCAAAUUUGGGUAU